GAUCCUACCGGGCCGGAAGAGGCUGUGUCCUGCCCUCUCCAACCCCACGAAAGCAUUCUGGGCGGAUCCCGGGUCUCCCCUCCCCAGUCCCAGCCUCCUUGUCCCUCACUCCUCAGUCGUCUCAGUCCCCGCCUGCCCUGGGGGCUUUGGGCCCCGCAGAAGCACCUGAAUUCCGAAGGCCCCUCCCCGGCCCUACGCGGGGCCUGCUCCUGGACGCUGAGCAGCAAGCGGUUCAAACCCCGCGGGCGGGGCUCCUUGCAGGUCCCCAGAGGGAUGAGAACCGGGACCCCCGCGGGGAGUGCAAGGACGGGUUACAGAGGAGAACGCGUUAUCUGCUCUGGGAGGUGAUUUUCAGAACUGAGGGGGGAAAAAAAAGAAAAAGAAAAGAGAAAAAAACGAAAAACAAAACAAAACAACAACAACAAAAAAAACAAGCCCAGGAGGAGCAGAAGUAAACAAAGGGUGGGAGAAAACUGGGCCAAAUGACUUUUUCUUGGUCAGUCUUAAAGUGUCGACCAAAUUCCUUCAGGGCAAAGCUGCAGAGAGUCCCGACGCCCCGCCCCUCCCCCACCUCCGUACCCUUCCUGAGAGGCCCCACACGACACAGAACUUUACUCUCCUCUUGAGAAUGACAUCACAAGACCUGAAGAGGAGCUAAACGGGCUGACACCUGUAGCUGAAGAGUGCCUUAACGCCGAGUCCCACGGCUCCAUGCGAGAGAUGCCUGUUCCUCCUCUGACAAAUUUGGCAGCUUCACGUACCCUAAAAAAAUCCCUUGACACUAUAAACAGGCGAAUACGUUUCCCCGUGUAUUCGUAUGUCUUCAAAAGAGACUGAGGAAAUGAAGCAUCUCUCGAGUUGGCGUAUUUUUUGAAGACAGCAGUUAACACUCAAUAAACUCAUUUUGUCAAAGUAAAAUGAGAUAGAUUCACUUUUAAA